UACGGAGGAUGCAAGCGUUAUCCGGAAUGAUUGGGCGUAAAGCGUCCGCAGGUGGCAGUUCAAGUCUGCUGUCAAAGACCGGGGCUUAACUUCGGAAAGGCAGUGGAAACUGAACAGCUAGAGUAUGGUAGGGGCAGAGGGAAUUCCUGGUGUAGCGGUGAAAUGCGUAGAUAUCAGGAAGAACAUCGGUGGCGAAGGCGCUCUGCUGGACCAUAACUGACACUCAGGGACGAAAGCUAGGGGAGCGAAUGGG
rnacentral:rRNA from 1 species